rnacentral:rRNA from 1 species
AACGAACGCUGGCGGCGUGCCUAACACAUGCAAGUCGAACGGAAUUAGAGAGCUUGCUCUUUAAUUUAGUGGCGCACGGGUGUGUAACGCGUAGAUAAUCUGCCCGACGAUCUGGGAUAACAGUUCGAAAGGACUGCUAAUACCGGAUAAGCCCACGGGGUCUUUGGACUCUGCGGGAAAAGGGGGGGACCUUCGGGCCUUCUGUCGUCGGAUGAGUCUGCGUACCAUUAGCUAGUUGGUAGGGUAAAGGCCUACCAAGGCUACGAUGGUUAGCUGGUCUGAGGGGAUGAUCAGCCACACUAGAACUGAGACACGGUCCAGACUCCUACGGGAGGCAGCAGUUGGGAAUUUUGCGCAAUGGGCGAAAGCCUGACGCAGCGACGCCGCGUGAGUGAUGAAGGCUUUCGGGUCGUAAAGCUCUGUCAGAGGGAAAGAAGUGUAUUGUGGCUAAUAUCCGCGAUACUUGACGGUACCCUCAAAGGAAGCACCGGCUAACUCCGUGCCAGCCGCCGCGGUAACAC